CUAACAGCUAGCUUAAGUGAGUUCAGGACGUCUUUAUGGCAGAACUAACCGUGGUUGCGCCUUGAUCAUACCAGGUGUGCUGCGUUCUCAGCUGGGGUGGGCUCAAAAGUUUUCCAGACUGCGAAGGCUCAGGAUUAUCUCUAUUAGCAGUUACUCUUCGUUGAGCUUCUGGGUCGCCACGUCAACAAGAUGGAGACUGAGGAGAAAUGAAGUUACCCAAAUGAGAUGCUGGGGUGAGGAAGUUUCCAGGAUGAUGAGGUGGAUGACCAAAAGGACCUGCUGAUGGGUGUGUGGGUCCUGAGGAGAGACAGAAGAGAUCUGACACACACUCACCUGCAGCAGAGAAGAGUGUGGAGGGCCGUGCCAAGUCGUUGGGGUGAUGGAUGGCGCCGAAGAGGCUGGGGCCAGGAGGUCGACCCAGGAACUCAGGCUUAAGGCCAAAAUCUAGCUUGUGAGGGUCGACCUGCAUCUGCUGCUGGAAGACGCCAGACCGACAGAGAGCAACACAUGUAAAACCCUUUUACACAAGGUGUGCUGUGAGUGAGUGACUACUGAAUUACCCUCCAAGAAAAGGACACUACUUACUCAUAACUUCAAAAAGUGAUUAUGACUGCUGAAUCCAUACAAUUAAAGCUACUAUAUAUUGUA